ACCUGGGUGGCUCAGUUGGUUGAGUGUCUGACUUCGGCUCAGGUCAUGCUCUCCUGAUUCGUGAGUUCAAGCCCUGCCUCAGGCU
rnacentral:tRNA from 1 species